rnacentral:rRNA from 1 species
GAUGAACGCUGGCGGCGUGCUUAACACAUGCAAGUCGAACGAUGAAGCCCAGCUUGCUGGGUGGAUUAGUGGCGAACGGGUGAGUAACACGUGAGCAACCUGCCCCUGACUCUGGGAUAAGCGCUGGAAACGGCGUCUAAUACUGGAUAUGUCCCGUCACCGCAUGGUGUGCGGGUGGAAAGAUUUUUCGGUUGGGGAUGGGCUCGCGGCCUAUCAGCUUGUUGGUGGGGUAAUGGCUCACCAAGGCGUCGACGGGUAGCCGGCCUGAGAGGGUGACCAGCCACACUGGGACUGAGACACGGCCCAGACUCCUACGGGAGGCAGCAGUGGGGAAUAUUGCACAAUGGGCGGAAGCCUGAUGCAGCAACGCCGCGUGAGGGAUGACGGCCUUCGGGUUGUAAACCUCUUUUAGCAGGGAAGAAGCGAAAGUGACGGUACCUGCAGAAAAAGCACCGGCUAACUACGUG